rnacentral:misc_RNA from 1 species
AAGUCGUAACAAGGUUUCCGUAGGUGAACCUGCGGAAGGAUCAUUAUCCAUCCAAAACCAGGUGCGGUCGCGGCCUCCAGGUGAUAACUUGGGUGGUUUCGCGCCGCAUUCCUGCACCCUUUUUUUACGAGCACCUUUGUUCUCCUUCGGCGGGGCAACCUGCCGCUGGAACUUAAUAAAACCUUUUUUGCAUCUAGCAUUACCUGUUCUGAUACAAAUAAUCGUUACAA